rnacentral:lncRNA from 1 species
GCUUUAUUAGGAUUGAUCUUGUCCAGUAAUUUUAUGACACCCUUCUUGGAGAUGGUGAUCUUGUUCAUUUUUGGAUAGUUUGAUUUCCCUUUAUCCGGAAUAGGUUCACUUGUUGUUUCUUCUGAAAAUGCUUUUUGAAACUGACUAUUUAGGAUGUUAGUUUUGUCAGAUGUAUUGUCAGUAAGUUUACCAUCUUUUCUAAGUGCAGCAAUGCCUGUAUUGUCAUUUUUCAUACUUUUUAUGUAUGUAAACAAGUUCUUAGGUUGUUUUUUUUUCUGAUGUUGUCAUCUGGUUCAUCUACUGGUAGGUCAAAUAUCAUUUUUUCAAUGUAAUUCCAGUAGGCAUUACGCAUUUCUUUUUGUAAUGUUCUUUUUAAGUAUUUGUAUUUUUUCAUUUGAUCUGGACUGUUUUUGCUCUUUUUAUGUAGUCUUUUAACUUUGUUUAUCAUGAUUUUUAAUGUUUUAUCAACCCAGGGUAGUUUUUUCUUGUUUGUGAUUGUUUUCUGGGGGAUGUUUUUCUUGACUGAUUGAAGUAGCCUUUCUGUAAAUGUAUUCCAUAGUUCAUCAGUAGAUGAACUAUGAUAAUGACCUUUGAUUUCUUGUGUGAGUUUGUUCACAUCUUGUUUGAUGUUUUCCCAGUUAGCUUUCCUGUACUGGUAAGUUUUUCUUGGCAUUUUCUUGUUGCGUUUUAGAGAUAGUGCACAUUCUGCAUAGACGAUAUCAUGGUCUGCAUUUCCGAUAGGAGGCAUAGUCUCCACUUUGUUGACUAUGCUUGGUAUGUUGGUGAGAAUGAGAUCAAGUGUUCUGUCUCCCCUAGUGGGCUUUUUUACAAUCUGCUCAAGUGA